UUGUAGUUGGUUAUGGAAUAUUGUGGAGCAGGUUCUGUAACUGAUUUAGUAAAAUCCACCAAGGGUCAAUGUUUAAAAGAAGAAUGGAUAGCUUAUAUAUGUAGAGAAAUUCUCAGGGGUUUGAGUCAUCUUCAUGGGAAUAAAAUCAUUCACAGAGAUAUUAAAGGACAGAAUGUAUUACUAACUGAUAAUGCUGAAGUAAAACUAGGUAAGAAUUUU